CCUACGGGUGGCAGCAGUGAGGAAUAUUGGUCAAUGGCCGUAAGGCUGAACCAGCCAAGUCGCGUGAAGGAAGAAGGAUCUAUGGAUUGUAAACUUCUUUUAUAGGGGAAUAAAGGCAUCCACGUGUGCAGAUUUGCAUGUACCCUAUGAAUAAGCAUCGGCUACCUCCGUGCCAGCAGCCGCGGUACUACGGAGGAUGCGAGCGUUCUCCGGAUUUAUUGGGGUUAAAGGGUGAGUAGGUUGUUUUUUUAGUCAGCGGUGAAAGUUUGUGGCUCAACCAUAAAAUUGCCGUUGAAACUGGAAGACUUGAGUGGGUUUGAGGUAGGCGGAAUGCGUGGUGUAGCGGUGAAAUGCAUAGAUAUCACGCAGAACUCCGAUUGCGAAGGCAGCUUACUAGGCCAUAACUGACACUGAAGCACGAAAGCGUGGGGAUCGAACAGGAUUAGAUACCCGAGUAGUC
rnacentral:rRNA from 1 species